GUGUCAGCAGCCGCGGUAAUACGAAGGGGGCUAGCGUUGCUCGGAAUCACUGGGCGUAAAGGGCGCGUAGGCGGCUGUUCAAGUCGGGGGUGAAAGCCUGUGGCUCAACCACAGAAUGGCCUUCGAUACUGGACGGCUCGAGACCGGAAGAGGUCAGUGGAACUGCGAGUGUAGAGGUGAAAUUCGUAGAUAUUCGCAAGAACACCAGUGGCGAAGGCGGCUGACUGGUCCGGUUCUGACGCUGAGGCGCGAAAGCGUGGGGAGCAAACAGGAUUAGAUACCCCCGUAGUCC
rnacentral:rRNA from 1 species